UACGUAGGGUGCGAGCGUUGUCCGGAAUUAUUGGGCGUAAAGAGCUUGUAGGCGGUUUGUCGCGUCUGCCGUGAAAAUCCGGGGCUCAACCCCGGACUUGCGGUGGGUACGGGCAGACUAGAGUGUGGUAGGGGAGACUGGAAUUCCUGGUGUAGCGGUGAAAUGCGCAGAUAUCAGGAGGAACACCGAUAGCGAAGGCAGGUCUCUGGGCCACUACUGACGCUGAGAAGCGAAAGCGUGGGGAGCGAACAGG
rnacentral:rRNA from 1 species